rnacentral:misc_RNA from 1 species
GCUCGCACACGGUUCAGACAUGCAAGUGUCGGUGGUAGUGACUCUGUUACUGAAGCUAUUUGUGGCCGAUGCUUCAGAAGCAAAUCAGCUUACUGAAGGUUCUCGAUGCGAAAGAGAUGGUGUCGAGGGCACUUGUAUCAGCAUCUACAAAUGUCAAUCGGUGAUCUUAGACAUCAGAGACAAGAAGCCUCCGCCGACUUGCGGCUUUCAAGGAAAUAAUCCUCUUGUCUGUUGCACCGACUGUAUUGAAGAUCGCGUGGCAAAUAUCAGUUAUGCCGUAAUAGACAAAGCUGCGGGACUGUUAUGGAAAAGAGACAAGAAGUUUUGGGACGUAUGCGUGGAUUACAUCCAUACUCUUCCCUAUGAAUGCAAGCUGCAUGUAACCAGCGACGUCAAAAAGAAAUGGUUUGCAGAAGAGAAAUGUUACCACAUCGUAUUAUUGCCGCGCGCGCCCGCCGGUGGGGAGGACACUAAGAGAGGCGAAAAGCCUUUCAUGGUGCUUCUAGGUUACGGCCCGAAUGUAGAUUCCGCGCAGUGGCUGUGCGGCGGCUCCCUCAUCAGCGACCGCUUUAUCCUCACAGCUGGCCACUGCGUCGCUGCAACAUCUCUAGGCCCAGUAAGAUUCGCGGCUCUGGGUGUAUGGAAACGAGACGAGCCCAAAGAAUUGUGGCAACAGCAUAUAAUCCAGAAAAUCAUCCCUCACCCGGAGUAUCGCCCGCCCCAUAAGUACAAUGAUAUCGCGCUGCUGAAGACUGAAAAACGGUGACUUUAACCGAGUUCACUGAAAAGGAGUGUGCUCUAAGGUACCGUGUCCACCGGCACCUUAGGCAUGGGUACAACCAUACCACUCAGAUGUGCUUUUGGGGAUAAGGAAAAAAUUGUCGAUACGUGUGAGGGUGACAGCGGAGGUCCUCUCAACAGGCCUGGCGGGGAAAUAUCCUACUGUGCGUAUACCAUCAUGGGCGUGACGUCAUUCGGGGUCCCGUGUGGACACAAAGGUAGUGCUGGGAUCUACACGCGAGUCUCGUUCUACCUGCCUUGGAUCGAGAGCAUAGUAUGGCCGUGAACAUCCAAAGUUAAAAAAAAUAUAUAUGGCACAAGUAUGCUGGCUGUCCAUAUCGACUCAGAAGAAGACUGAAUAAUAUGUUAAGCAAGAUUUGAAGAUUGUAAACGCUAGUAUGAAAGUAGCAAUUUCAAAAUUAAAAACGAA